rnacentral:tRNA from 1 species
CUAAGGAAGCCGACCCUGGUUGGUCCGGCACCUUCAAAGCCCAGAUGGCGCAUCUCUGCCGCCGCCGGCGCAUCCCUUCUCACGGUUCUCGACGUGCUCCUCUGUGGGGCACGGCCGGGCUAGUAGCUCAGUUGGUUAGAGCGCGCGCUUGAUAAGCGUGAGGUCGGAGGUUCAAAUCCUCCCUGGCCCACCAUGUUUAGCGAUCGUGCGUUUGCCGAUCGGGGGCAUAGCUCAGUUGGGAGAGCGCCUGCUUUGCAAGCAGGAGGUCGUCGGUUCGAUCCCGUCUGCCUCCACCAGUUUCCGAGACGGACGCUGGUGUCGAUGGUGGAGGCGAGCCGCUCAGCUUCGAGGACCGUUGGAAGGAACCACAACACGGCAACGUGAACAAUAACGAGCGCUCCGCGCUCGUUAUUGUGUCCCAAACCACAUUGGUGGUGCAGGGACGGGAUCAUGGACAAGUGAAGAUGAAGUGCAAGUGACCGAGGACGCUCCUCGGCCGGGAGAAUACCCUGGCUGGGAGUAGCAUCGAACGGCGGAAACAGUCGGUCCUGUCGACCGGCUCGCGAGCAGGCUUGUUCCUGCGCGUGGCGCAAGCGUUUUCGUUGGAGUUGAG